GGAUGCGAUCAUACCAGCACUAAAGCACCGGAUCCCAUAAGAACUCCGAAGUUAAGCGUGCUUGGGCGAGAGUAGUACUAGGAUGGGUGACCUCCUGGGAAGUCCUCGUGUUGCAUUCC
rnacentral:rRNA from 1 species